rnacentral:lncRNA from 1 species
AGUACGCUCCCAAGGUAGAAGAGAGCCGCCAUCAAGCCGGCGACGAGAGCCGGGAAAGGCUGCGGCAAACACUUAGGCCUUUCAGCAUCGCUAACCCUCCUACCUCUCAAACCCUUCGGGGUCAGGGACAAGUCCAGGGAGCCGCCCCUUUUCUGCAAUAAUCCCUAAAAUUCCUCUUUCGCCUGAGCCACACUCCCAACCCCCGCCGCCACCACCACGCGCUGCCCCAAACAGAUUACACAACGCAGGCUCCUGGCCCGCAUUCCUGGGGUCCUAUCUCCUCCUCCCUUCCUCUGCUGACCCCUCGCGACUGCCCGAGCCGGAACAUUACUUCCCUGACCGCGGCGCCGAGGCCCAGCGAAGGCCGAGGCCGGCGGCGCCAUGUUCGCGGGGCACCAGGCCCGGCGACCGGGCAAGGGAAACAGGGCGUGAGCGGCGGCGAACAGAAAAGGAUACACAUUGAGACGCUGUCCCAUCUCCUGGAUGAGGUUGGCCGCCUGCUGGCGGCACGAGAGCUCUUUAUCCGCCUCCACUCCGCAGCGGCGGCUCGGCGUGUUCUCCAGCUGUUCCCGAGUAAAGAACCAGCGAGAAGAAGCUCCACGGCCCGACGCCAUGACACUUCCUCCUCCGCCCGCUCCUUCAUUCACCCCCCGCCCCUCCUGGCUCGCGGACUCCCCGCCAAGGCGCGCGACCCCGCCCCACUCCGCUCGCCGUAGACCACGCACCACCCUUUUUCACCACCGCCUCCGCCCUUGCGCAUGCGCGGGGCCCGCUCUACCGACUCGCCCUAGUCUUUUGCUUUCUUUUUCUGCCCUCGGCCUCGCUCUUGCGCACGGGACCACAAUGCUCCGCGCCGCUUGUCAUUGGGAGGCGCCGAAGGUGGAGAGGUCGGCUCGGAAGGAAAAGAUCACUCACUCUUGGGGGCAUCCAGCAGCCAUGUUGUGAGGACACUCAAGCAGCUGUGAAGAGGUGCACCUGGAGAGGAACUGAGGCCUCCCACCAAAACCAAGCACUGACAUGCCACUCAUGGGUAAAAUCCACCUUGAAUGUAAAUCCUUUAGCCCCAGCCAAGCUUUUAGAUAACUACAGCCCUGACUGACACCUUGCCUGUCUCACCUCUUGAGAGAUUUUGGCAAUCACAGGAAUAUAUAAAACAUGAGCAGAAAGAGGCCUUUGGAGAAAUCUGGACCAGCAUUCUCAUUUUACGGAUGAGGGACCACGGCCCAUGGAGGUUUCCAUAGAUGAUUGGAAAAACCCAAGAGUUGGUCCUCUGUUCCAGACCCCACACAGACACAAACCUACAAGCCAAGGGAGCCAGUAUUUGGCCAUUCGUCCAUCCAUCUGCAUGUCCCAGGGAUGCACGAACAGGGAACACUUCAGCCUUUCGGCUGCCUUCAAAGAAGCAAUGAGAGAGAGAGAGAGGGUUACUUUGAUGAGUGAGCAGAUACCAGGUACUGUUUUGGGGAAACUGCUUUUCUCUGAGUCUAUAUUGGUCUGCACAAAUAAACUAAAAUGCUUUUUAAGUUGUUUUAUGAUCUAUAUAGAAGAGAUAUUGACAAACUUCUCCUGCUUAGAAAAUAAAAGGGACACUUGGAAUUAACAAAGGGGGUUGGUAGAUUUACCAUUGAGGUUGAUGAACUUAAUAUAUCAUCUGGUAAAACAAGCGUCAGGAAAUAUCCAUCAUUCAAAUGUUUUGGCUGACAGCAAAAUGCUCAAGGACUAAUCCCACAGCUGAAAUGUAGGGGAAAAUUUCCCCUACAUUUGGCUCCUUCUGGCUCCUACUUGGUCUACACUUUUGGAAGGACUGCUGAGAUUGUAUCCUUGGAGUCAGGGCGAGAGUGCCCCCUCCUUUUCCCCACUUGGAAACCAGAGUUUGUGGAAAGUGAAGAAGUGAUGUGCUGGAGCCAGAGGCUCAGUGCUGGGCUGGGGCUGGCUGGCCUGACCCAAGCCACCUGGUUACUCAGAGCCCAGCACUGGGUGGAAUCCCUGGGGUCUACAGGCAUUCACCCAUCCCCAGAAGCCCAGAUGAGUCUCUGAACAGUUGGCUGUGAGUGAGAUGACCUCAGAAAUGGAAGAGGUCAGUGCCUUAGCCAGACAGGCACUGACAUGAAUGUCAUAGGCAUGCUCCAGGGCCUUCUGAGAAAUGGAAAUACCAUCUGGAUGGAAUGACCUUUAUGCAACAAAAAGUUUAAUUAAAAGAAGUCUCCUCAACAGGCAUUGAAUAUUAGUGCUCGUCAAGAUUCAAAAGAGAUUUCCCUUAGAAUAAUUCCUCACCACAUAUAUUGAGGUUCUGGAGUGAUUCAUCCUACCCUCAUACAUAAAUGUUUGUGCUAACCAGGCUGAUGCAAUGUGACUUGUGUACAUAAGCAUUUUUAAAAUGGAAAAGCAAUUCUGGGACAACAAGGGAUUCUGGAAGUGUCAGGAAAAGGGUAAGUUGAAGAAAGGACUUUUAAUUCAACAGGUCUUGGGUAGCAGAAGAGAUAUAAGCCUUUUAAAGAGAGAGAAGCUAAUUGGUUUCUGAUAAUAGGUGCCUGUUGGAAAGAAAAUAUUGACCUCUUGGGAUGGUUUGGGUUUGGCAAAGGUGCAUGGUCAUGGUAUCUCAGUGGGAUUUGACUCCUCAUUUGGAUACAAGUUUAUUCUAUGUGCCUCUGGUGGUUCUUUUCUUUUUAAAAUUUUUCCUUUUUAUUUUUUUGUUAACUUUUAUGUUAAGGGUACAUGUGCAGGUUGGUUAUAUAGGUAAAUUGCAUGUCACAGGGGCUUGGCAUACAGAUUAUUUUAUCACCCAGGUAAUAACCAUUGUACCCAAUAGGUAGAUUUUUGAUCCUCACCCUCCUCCCACCCUCAUUUCUGUUCAGUUCAAAUUAACAUAUUGUUGAUCUCCUUCUAUAUGUGGGGUUUGUAGAGAAUAGAAAAAGAAGUUAUACUCUCACAAUUAUAAUUAACAUUGACUGAGAACUUAUUAUGUGCCCAAGCUGUUAUAAGAAUUUUAUAAUUAUUAACUAGUUUAAUUUUUUGUGAGAUGCGCACUUUUACUACCCUCAUUUUAUGGAGAAGAAAACUAAGGCAGAUAGAAGCUAACUUACUUAGGCCUUGUGGCUGAUAGAUGGUGGAGCUGGGCAGUUGGCACUACCAUUCAGUCUGCCUUAUACCAAUAACGAAGUUGUUUUUGCAACUGAAAACUGACCUGAGCAUGUAUGAUUGGGUUUACUCACUAAAAAGGGAGGUCUAGGAGAUAAAGGGGACAGUUAGACCUUUGGAGUACCAGGAUCACCUUGAGAUGACAAAGCCAACCUGGCUCAUGAUAAUUCAUUUCAGCACAUUAUUGACGCAAACUAGAGAGCAGAGAGGCAGGCAAACCUUGCUAACCAAACAAAUAUGCUGCCACCCCCAGGACAUCAUAAGUCACCUGGGGACAGGAUGUGCUCCUGAAUCCCUUCAGAGACUGGAUGUCCUCAAAACAGCCCAGUUAGAAGGAUUGAUGGGUCGAGCUAGUCACACAAAUGAAAAUAUCCAUGUGGACCUCAACCGGCUGCUGUUGCUUCCUAAGUCCCUUAGUAAUUCAUAAACCCAAAUCCAAUGAAUGCUAAAAUGACUUGCAGCUGAAGUCUCGAUCACACUGUGCUGAAACAACUUGGAUGCAUAAGUAAAUAAAUCCUCUUUCAAAGCUCAUUAAAGUUUCUAGAAAACAUUCACUGCAUCAGCUAAACCACUGCAGCCAGUAAGCUUCAGGGAGUUCAGUAUAUUGAGGAACAUUAAAUCUUUCAAGUCAUUAGAAGGCAAUUUAACAGGCAAUCUCCUGACUGGUGGGCAGUCGCCAUAGAUACAAACAUGGAAAAUUUUUUGCCUGUAGUUAGACCUCAGUAAAUACUAAAUGAGUAAAUGAUCAGUAGUCACAGUGCCUGGUGAGUCCACAAACAUCUAUUUAAGUCAUUAUUAAAGAUUUUGCAUUUAUAAUGAAAAUAAUAGAAAGCAAUAUUAUUAUAAUUCUAGGAGGGAAAUAAAAAAUUAAAAAAUGCAAUUGAGUAAAGAAUUAUGCAUCAUGAAUCCUGGUACUGAGAUGAGAAGGUUUGGUUAUAGAAAGAGUUGAAAGUGGAGGAGGAAGAAGAAGACUGAUGGAGAUGACUGUGGAACUAUGGACACUUGAAGUUGGAUAUUUCAGAAAUGAAUGGCACUGAAUUUUUGAACAUACAUUUUACCAUGAGAUAUUUUAAGUAUAGAAAGUAUAAACAAUAACACAAUGAGCAUCCCUAUACCCACCACCUAGUUUCAUCAAAUGUUAACAUUUUCAUGGUAUUAUUUUUUAUUAGGUAUUUUAAAGUACAUUUCCAAAAUAUAUGACUUAAAAAUAUCUUAAUUACAGAUUGGUUAAAUAAAUCAAAGCAUAGCCAUAUAUUGGAAUAUUCUGCAGUUAUUUAAAAAUCGUGCAUUAAAAGAAUUUUCACUUAUGUUGGAAAUUUUUAAUUAGCAUACAAAAUCACAUGUGUAACAGAAUUUCAGGUUCAUUAAAAUAUAGAUAUAUGUAUAUCAAGAAAGUAACUAUGUAUGGUAACAGUGGCUACUCAUCUUUGGGAGGCUGGAUUAUGGGUAAUGUUUGUUAUCAUCUUUAUACUUUUCUGUAUUUUCGAUAAUUUCUUCCAAAUUAUUUCAUAAUUUUGAAAAAUGUUUAGUAUUUUUUUUCCAAAGCAGAUUUUUUUUUUUUUUUGAGAUGGAGUCUUGCUCUCUUACCCAGACUAGAGUGCAGUGGCACAGUCUUGGCUCACUGCAACCUGUCUCCUGGGUUGAAGAUACUCUCAUGCCUCAGCCUCCCAAGUAGCUGGGAUUACAGGGGUGUGGCACUACGCCUGGCUAAUUUUUUUGUAUUUUUAGUAGAGAUGGGGUUUUGCUAUGUUGGUCAGGCUGGCCUCGAACUUCUGGCCUCAAGUGAUCCGCCCACCUGGGCCUCCCGAAGUGCUGGGAUUACAGGUGUGAGCUGCUGCACCUGGCCAAAAUAUAUAUAUAUAUUUGUAUGUCAUUAACACGAUUCUUUUGCACAGUGGCUGUAAAGAGGGUAUUUUGUCUUCCAAGUGAAAGAUUAAAAGGAGGGCAAGGGGGAUGGAAAGAAAAGAGAUUUCACUGUUAACUCAGUGCUGGCCUAGGAACCCUUCCACCAGUUCCUCUUUGGAAUGGCCCACUCCUUUGCGGGGGCUAUUUCCACACCUUCUACCUACAUCAAACAAGUCGUGGACACCGCUCUCCCCUCCCAGUGGGGUGACGCUUCACCUCCUCCCUGCCAGCACCCAGCGGUGCCCCCGGCCCAGGCACUGGGCGGCUGGCGUUGGCUGAGCAGCCCCGCUACUCACCGCAUAGACAGGAAAGAGCUCCUGCGCGUUCAGGUCCCACUCGUUGACGUGGGUGCCAAUUUGGACCCCGGGAAAGCCCAGCUCUUUCACACAGCGCUCCAUCUCCUUGACCGCCAGCUCAGGGGCCUGCAUGGGCAACGUCCCCAGACCCACGAACCUCCUGGGGUAGCUCACAACGGUGCUGGCAAGGUCGUUGUUUAAAAGCUGGCACAGGUUUAAAGUGUCCUCAGGUUUGGCCUGGUGGAGACAGGAAAGGGAAAACCGCAUUGUUGAAAACCUACUUCUUUUAGACAUUCACUCUGAACAGUGCCUCCUCAUGGCUAUAAUAUUUGUCAUUUUCAGUGGCUUUACCACAUCAGAAAACAGAGGCACAGAUUGGGAAAGGUGCUGGCCACAGACAACCGAGAAGCCAAUCUUUGUAAAGCAAAGAAAACUGCAGGUAUAUUGCUGAUUCAUUGGAAAAAUUGAGGCCAGAAUCAGAAGGGAAGAACACAAUUACUGGCAUGGUAUCCCAACACUAGAGAUGGAAUGAGCAUGGGCCACUGCCAACUGCAGAAAGAUCUUAAUGCCCCCCUACCUCCCAGGAGGUCGGGCCUGGCCAAGGGCCCCAGGCCACCAUCAAGGCACCUCCUUGUCAUGCCCCAUUGAGGGCCGCCAGGCUGGCUCACUGACUUGUCCUGCCCCUGCCUGUCCUCCUCUCUGUCCUUCUUGUUGGCUGUGACAUUCAGGGCUGUCCUUGGCAAAAUGCUGAGGCAGUUGAAGUUUACUGUUGGUUUUCCUAAUGCUCCCUUCUUCACUGUUUACUUUCCUCUGUCACCCCACUGCCCACUGCCAGGAAUCUGGUCCUCUCCUGCAGCCUCAGUUGUCUAAUCAGAGUGGUAGCCAAUCUGAUAAAUUCAGGCAUUUUGAGGUCUCAGGGCACUUUUAAGUAGUGAAUGCAAUCGCAGGAACAGGCAAAGACUGAGUCACUCACUAAUACUGGAUUUAUGAACACAGAUCACGGAAGUAUGUAUGAACAGGUGAUAUUUCCACUGCUCCUUAAAUCACGAGAGUGAGUAUCUGCUUGGAUGAGCAGGGACUAGCACAUUCCCGGCUACGUACAAAAAUUUUCCUCCACAGGCUGGAAAUCAUGCCUGAAACUUUUAGUGCUUGAGAUUUAUUCACUUGGGAAAGGGCAUCCCACUUCAGGAUUACCCUUCUGAAUUGUGUUUUUCCCUUGGAGAGGUGAUAUAUUAGGUCAUGAUUAUUAUUCCUACCUCAAAAUCAUUCUCGUCUCAGAAGAUAUUAGCUUGUCAGUUCCCCGGCAAGGCAUUGCAGGAAUGAGUCACCAGACAGGUAAGUUCUGGUGGAGAUUAAGGCUGGUCUAGUACCACUGUACAGUGAAACUAUAAUGCAAGUCACAUAGCAACAUGUGACUACUGGCUACCGUACUGGAGCAAAGACAUGGCUAAGAAGACAGGCCUGAGAGGGGACCCUGCUGAUCGCUAAAGGGGAGGACAGUUGUUGGGGGCAGUUAGUGGUACUGGUGUCCAAACUUGAGGCAUCUGUUCACUUUUUGGGAGCUCAACACGAACCUUCAACACCAAGGAGAUGGCUUGAGGUUUCACACUCACCCAGUAGCUAAACAUGACAGGAACUGUGGAAAGGGCUUGCACUGUUACUCCUAGACAUGGACACAAAGAAGGGCAAAGCUGGUGAGAAGAAUAGGCUGGGCACUCCUUCCUUUCCCAAGGCCAAGCGGCAGCAAGCCUCCACCCUAAACUCCUCCUGCUCUCCCUCCCUGCGUCCCUCUCAGUCCUCUCCCUGGACCCCCCUCAGCCCCCAGCCCCAGAUUCUAGGGAAGUAAGUAAAGAUUGGACACAAAUGAGAUCAUUCAAGGAAAACUAACUGACCCCAUUUCCAAAGAGUUAUUUCUGCCCUCCUUCCUGUGAAAUUUUAUUUAAGCAAGACUUUUUCAGGCUUUCUGUCUUAGGUUAUGCACAACAGAGCAUGUCUCUCAGCCACCUUCCCUGCCCCUUUAAUUCAGCUCCUAAGUGAUCCUAGAAGGAGUCCCAUGAUCUGAAAUACCCAGAAUGGGACCCUGAGUUUGACUCCAGCAUCCAGGAUGCCAAGAAUCUUUUGUCUUCAAGAGGGUCUACUUCCUAGGGUUGUUGUAGGGAUUAAAUGAGUUAAUACAUGUUAGGUUCUUAGAAUAGUGCCUGGCACAAAGUAAAUACUCAAUGAGGGUUGGUCAUGACUGUUCUCUCAGGGACAGCCAAGGAAUGCAACACACAACAAAAACCAAAGUUGACACACACACUUCGUUUACCGUGCAGCCGUAAGUAGUGGUUUCUGACACCAGUCAUUCAAGUCUCAUGCUCACUAGUUUUCUCCUUGAAAAGGCAGGUCCUUGCUGCAGCUUCACAUUUACUACAAAACCUUGCUCUUUGCUGUAGGUCAGGGAAGCAUGUUCUUUCUCCAGCUCUCCUCCCACUCCAAUAUACUUUUAGAACAGAGGGAUAUAUGCUAUAUUCUGUGGAGUACUCUACAGAGGUGCUGCAGGUUUUCUGCAAAGUUCAAUUUAAAUGCCACUUAAAUAUAUUUUUAAUUAAAAAAUUUUUUUAGAGACAGGGUCUUGCUCCACCACUAGGCUGGAGUGUAGUGGUGCAAUCACAGCUCACUGCAGCCUCAAACUCCUGGGCUCAGGUGAUCCUCCCACCUCAGCCUCCUGAGUAGCUGGGAUCACAGGUGCAUGCCACCACACCUAGAUAAUUUUUUUUUUUUUUUUUUUUUUUUGUGGAGACAGGGUCUCACUGUGUUUCCCAGACUGAUCCUGAACUCCUGGGCUCAAGGGAUCCUCCUGACGUGGCCUCCUAACAUGCUGGGAUUAUAGGCAUGAACUACCACACCUGGCUCUAUUUUUAAUUGUUAAAAAAUAUAUAAAGCAAAACCUGGACAAAGGUAUCUACAACAAAUUCCAACAUGCUGGAGACCACCUACUCACUUUAGGCUGACCGUUUGAUUCCUUUUUUGCAGACCUUGGAAUAAAAUGUCUCCUGCCAUCUCUUUGUAUAUUUGAACUUCUUACAAUUUGUCUUUGAUUAGGAAGGUGGUAGUGCUAAACUGCUCUUUUAUUUGUGUGUUUGAAUUGUUUCUUUUCUGGUUGAAAUCUUCCACCAAUGUAAACACUUAGUUCUGACAAUGUCAGUGGUGGUCAGUUCCCCAUCACAGCCCAUGGACACAGCCCACAUGUGUCUGGAAGGCUCAGGCAUUUUCUUGGAGCAUGUUCUCCUCAGGUGGCACAGUCAACCAGGCAGUCACAGGUGAAGCAUAAUGUGGCCAUCAUGUCAUACUUUAGAUAGACUUGGAAAUUUCAUUUUGUUUUGUUUUGAGACAGAGUCUCACUUUGUUGCCCAGGCUGGAGUGCGGUGGUGCAAUGUCGGCUCACUGCAAACUCCGCCUCCUGGGUUCAAGCGAUUCUUGUGCCUUUGUCUCCUGAGCAUCUGGGAUUACAGGCACGCGCCAGCAUGCCUGGCUAAUUUUUGUAUGUUUAGUAGAAAUAGGGUUUUGCCAUGUUGGCCAGGCUGGUCUCAAACUCCUGACCUCAGGUGAUCCACCUGCCUUGGCCUCCCAAACUGUUACUGUGCCUUUUCUGAAAUUCUUUUAAAUUGUGAGGACUUGUUUGAUUUUUAGAUAUAAGGUAAAAAGUGCAAGAUGUUCUUAUAGCUUUUUAGCAAUUCAGCUUUGAAACGAACACUUCCUAAUUCUCUUCUUUCAAAUUUCUGGAUUGAUUUUAUUGUAGUGUAUUCUGAGAUUACACAAUUAACUAUUUUUAACUGCUUCCAUUUCCAACCCUGAUGUGUCAGUGGGAAUGUUCUGUGUAUGAUGCACCGAGACAAACUACAGAAAGAAAUUGGAUCUUAAGUGUUAUUAAGCAGGCAAUUGUCAUUCUUAGUUUUGUGAUUUCCAGUUUUUACUAUUUUAAUUGAUUUUAUAAUAAGUAAAUACUAUACAUUUGAACUAAUUUUUAAAAAUAAUAAAAUGCCAUUUUUAUCUUUUUCAUGAUAUAGCAUUCUAUUUUAAAACAGGGUAUAACUCAUAUGAAACAUUUUGAAUCCACACUCUAAAAGCAUUGUAGUGGAAGGCCCUGUCCCUCCCACAGUGAAGCUGGAACAGCCUGUCCUGGCAGAGAAAAGGGGGUCAGAAGUUACCAUCACAUAAAGUUGUCAGCAAACUUUAAGGGCAGACAUUGCUUUUACAUCAGAUGCUAACAUUGGUAGCACUUCUCAUCGUACCUUUUUGGUCCAUUUCUCUAAUACGAACUUCUGGAUCCCAGCAAUUCUCUCGCACCACUCUGAAGACUUUCCCAUCUUUCAACAACUUUGCUUCUCCCUGGGGCAGAAAACCCACAUUACUAAAAUGCAACCUAAGACCACUUGGACUAAUCUUUCCUCAUGUGCUUUAGAACGUAUUUCUUCCCUAAUAUUUGAAAAGAUUUUUACUUAAUCCUUGUGGAAGUAGAAAUCAGUAAUUUAACAAAAAUCAGCUUUCUUUCCUCAUGCUUUUCUUUGGCCUAGAGUUGAAGGGGUGUGCUCUGUGGGCGUCAAUGGCUGGACACAGAGAUAGCAAGGUUGAGGUUAUGUUUCUCUGGGCUGCCUGACUGAGAAUGGCUGAUCACCUUGCUGAUCUGAACCCCUGGCUACUAGAUACAAGAGGAUGGCCCAGCGUCUGGAAAAUGGUAGUUCUAUAACAUUUAGAAUUGAAAAGAACCUUUGAGAUAGACCACCUAGUCCAACCCUCUCAUUUUAUGGAGAAGCAAUAUAUGGAUAAUGGCAGUGUAUGAUUUGUCAAACAGAGCAGGGCCCACUAGUGUCAAUACCUGUGGGAGGAGGUGGGCAAAGAAGUCAGUCUGGUAGCAAGCACAAAAUUUGGUACUGAGCUACUUCUUCCACCAGGCAUCAUGCUUGCCUGGGUACACAGCAAUAAUUUUUAUACAUUUUAAAUGACAAAUAAAAAUUGCAUAUAUUUAUGCUGUACAACAUUAUCUUUUGAUAUAUGUGUGCAUUGUGGAAUGGCUAAAUCAAGCUAAUUAAAAUGUCCAUUACUUCACAUACUUAUUUUUUUUGAGGUGAUGACACUUAAAAUCUAUUCUUUUAGCAAUUUUCAAGUAUACAAUACAUUUUUAUUAACUAUAGUCACCAUAUUGUGCAAUAGAUAUGAACUUAUUCCUCCUGUCUAACUGAAAUUUCAUAUCCUCUGACCUUCUCAAUCUCUCCCCACCCCUUCAGCCUGUGGUAACCACCAUUUUUCUUGAUGCUUCUGUGAGUUAGACUUUUUUAGAUUCUACAUAUAAGUACAGUAUUUGUCUUUUUAUGUCUGGCUUAUUUCACUUAACAUAAUAUCCUUCAGUGUUAUUCAUGUUGUUGUAAAUGAUAGAAUUUCCUUUUUAUAAAGGCUGAAUAGUAUUCCAUUAUGUAUAUAUGCCACAUUUUCUUUAUCCAUUCAUCCACUGAUGGACACUUAGAUUGAUUCCAUAUCUUGGCUAUUUUGAAUGAUGCUACAUUGAACAUGGGAAUGCAGAUAUUUCUUCAACAUACUGGUUUCAUUUCCUCUGCAUAUAUAGCCAGAAGUAGAAUUGCUGGAUCAUAUAGUAGUUCUAUUUUUACUUUUUCUCAGGAAAACAUAUGAUCAUAUCAAUAGAUACAGACAAAUUUCUACAUCCUUUUAUGACUUUAAAAAACCUCAAUAAAUUAGGUAUAGAAGGAAUAAAGCUGUGGGAUUGCCAUACAUGAACUUUAUUGUUGAUCAACACAAUAAAGUCUAUGUAUGGCAAUCCCACAGCUAACAUCAUACUUGAUGGUGAAAAUGAUGAAAAGUUGAAAACUUUUUCUCUAAGAUCAGGAACAUGACAAGGGGGCUCAUUUUGCCACUUCUCAACAUCAUAAAGGAAGUUCUAGCCAGAGCAAUGAAGCAAGAAAAAGAAACAAAAGUCACCUAAAUCAGAAUGAAAGAAGUUAAAUUGUUUUUGUUUGCAGACAACAUGGUUUUAUACAUAGAAAACCCUAAAUAUUCCACCAAAAAACUGUUAAACUAAUAAAUUGGGUAACGUUGCAGAAUACAAAAUUGAUAUAUAAAAGCCCAUAGCAUUUCUGUAUGUUAACAAUCUGCAAAAGAUAUCAGGCAAUCCCAUUAUUUAUUUAUUUAUUUCUCGAGAUAGAGUCUUGUUCUGUUGCCCAGACUGGAGUGGAGUGCAGUGGUAUGAUCUCGGCUCACUGCAGCCUCUGCCUCCCAGGUUCAAGCAAUUCUCCUGCCUUUGCCUCCCAAGUAGCUGGGAUUACAGACAUGCGCCACCACGCCCGGCUAAUUUUUGUGUUUUUAGUAGAGACGGGGUUUCACCAUGUUGGCCAGGCUGGUCUUGAACUUCUGACCUCAUGAUCCACCGGCCUCAGCCUCCCAAAGUGCUGGGAUUACAGGCAUAAGCCACUGCUCCCAGCAUUAGGCAAUCCCAUUUAAAAUAGUAUUUAAAAAUACUUAGGAAUGAAUCUAACCAAAAAGGUGAAAGAUCUGAAAACUAUAAUACAUUGAUGAAAAAAUUAAAGAAGACACAGACGAAUGGAAAAACAUCCCAUGUUCGUGGAUUGAAAAAUUGAUA